UGUACUUGAUAUCCUGGAGGGGUGAUUACAGUAUAACUGGCUGCAGGCUGCGUCUUGCAGUUUGACAGCAGCGCUCACACAAUGCCGGCAGCCAAAGGGAAACCUGAGGUCUUAGUACUGGUCUAGUGAAGUCUCUGACAAUCUACCAGCCUCCAAAUUCUCAGAUGUUU